rnacentral:rRNA from 1 species
UCCAGACUCCUACGGGAGGCAGCAGUGGGGAAUAUUGGGCAAUGGGCGCAAGCCUGACCCAGCAACGCCGCGUGAAGGAAGAAGGCUUUCGGGUUGUAAACUUCUUUUAUGAGGGACGAAACAAAUGACGGUACCUCAUGAAUAAGCCACGGCUAACUACGUGCCAGCAGCCGCGGUAAUACGUAGGUGGCAAGCGUUAUCCGGAUUUACUGGGUGUAAAGGGCGUGUAGGCGGGACUGCAAGUCAGAUGUGAAAAUUAUGGGCUCAACCCAUAACCUGCAUUUGAAACUGUAGUUCUUGAGUGAUGGAGAGGCAGGCGGAAUUCCGUGUGUAGCGGUGAAAUGCGUAGAUAUCAGGAGGAACACCGGCGGCGAAGGCGGCCUGCUGGACCGCGACUGACGUUGAGGCUCGAAAGCGUGGGGAGCGAACAGGAUUAGAUACCCUCGUAC